rnacentral:rRNA from 1 species
UUGGUGGCGAGUGGCGGACGGGUGAGUAACGCGUAGGAAUCUACCCAAUAGCGGGGGAUAGCCCGGGGAAACUCGGAUUAAUACCGCAUACGCCCUACGGGGGAAAGGCCGGGAUCUUCGGACCGGUCGCUAUUGGAUGAGCCUGCGUUGGAUUAGCUAGUUGGUAGGGUAAAGGCUCACCAAGGCGACGAUCCUUAGCUGGUCUGAGAGGACGAUCAGCCACACUGGAACUGAGACACGGUCCAGACUCC